GAGACCGGAGUCUUGCUCUUGUCGCCUCCUGACCCAUUCUUUUUAUUCUUCUCUACAGCAUCCAUUCAUAUAUUCAUUCAGUCAGCUAAUUUUUAAUCCAGCACAUACUAUUGCAAGCGCUGUUUUAGGCGUUGAGAAUACAACUGUGAACAAGACGACAAAAAUUCCUGCCCUCAUGGAGCCUAAGAGCCUAAAUUUUAGCGAAGGUAGAACCACCGUAAACAAUGUAUAUAUUAAUAAGUAACUUAUGCACCAUACUGGAAAAUUAUAAAGUGCUAUAGAGGAAAAGAAGAAUUCAUGUAAAGCAAGGAGGCUGGCAUCAACUGGAGCCACUUCACAGCUUGUUUGAGAACUGGAUCUGACCAGUAGGAAGAAACCAGGACAGCAGUGGAAGACUGUUAAAGAAACCUGAGUAAAAAGAUGCAGGAGGUAAGAAGAGGAGGGUCUGUGAUACAUCACAAGGAGGAAGAAGGAGAAGUUGUGCUGUUGGAUGAGAGUUCAGGACCACCAAGCCAGCUGCUUUGGACCCGCCAGGAUACCCAGCUCCCUCAGGAAAGCGCUCUAUUACCUGCUCCAUAUCCUGCCUUCACUAAAGAUGGAAGCCAAGGAAACCUGCCGCAAGCAGAUAUCACACUAAUGAGCCAGGCCCAAGUGAGCUGAGGCCCCUUUCCUCCUCCUUGAAAAUACAUCACUACCUCCAAAAUAUGGCCUUGUUUUCACUGCGUUCUCUGGCUGUGCAACUCCUAAAUCAAUGUUCUCCCUCUCAUAAGGAACAUUUUGUUGCAUGAUAAACCACUUGUGGGUUGUUUUCUCUUUCAUUAUUUUUUGCUAUCAAAACCCCAUGCUCCCUUUCAUCUCAUUUGUACAUACCCACCAAAAGGGAAGAGCCUUUCACUUCUAUAAACCUCCUCCUUGCAAAUUCCUUUCUUCUGCCUCUGUUUCCUGAGGAAACUAUGGCGUUUUCUCCAGGAUAGCAGGAGCAUAUUAUUUCAGGAGUCAGUGACAUUUGAGGAUGUAGCUGUGAACUUCACUAACAGGGAGUGGCAGUGUCUGACCUACGCUCAAAGGCAUCUCUAUAAGGAUGUGAUGUUGGAAAAUUAUGGGAACAUGGUAUCACUUGGAUUUCCAUUUCCUAAACCUCCUUUAAUCUCUCAUCUGGAGCGAGAAGUAGACCCCUGUGUGCAGGAUCCACAGGACAGGGAGUCCCUAAGCUGCUCCUACCCAGUGUCAGCUGACAAGAUGUGGCCUGAGAAUGAAAAGGCAAGUUCACAACAAGAGAUUUUUGAAAAUGGAGAAGCCUACUGGAUGAAAUUUAACAGUCUCCUAAAAGUUGAUUCCCGGGAUCCUAAGGUUAGAGAAGUUUGUGUUCAGGAUGUCAAAUUAGAGAAUCAAUGGGAAACAUCUAUAAGGGAGAAACUGAGAGAAGAGAAAGAAGGCUCUGAGGAAGUGACCUGCAAAAAAGGAAAGAACCAGAAAGUGCUUAGUAAAAACUUGAAUCCAAACUCAAAACAUAGUCAAUGUAAUAAAGUUCUUAUAGCACAGAAACUCCAUGAAUGUGCCAGGUGUGGCAAAAACUUCAGUUGGCACUCAGAUCUAAUUCUCCAUGAGCAAAUUCAUUCUGGUGAGAAACCCCAUGUGUGUAAUGAGUGUGGGAAAGCAUUCAAGACCAGAAAUCAGCUUUCUAUGCACCGGAUAAUCCACACAGGGGAGAAACCUUUUAAUUGCACCCAGUGUGGGAAGGCUUUCAACAGUAGAUCAGCUCUUUGCCGACAUAAAAAAACCCACAGUGGGGAGAAGCCUCACGAGUGCAGGGACUGUGGGAAGGCCUUCAAGACCAGGAACCGUCUCUGUAUGCAUCAGCUUAUCCACACCGGGGAGAAGCCUUACAAAUGUAACUGCUGUGGGAAGGCCUUCCAGUUUAAGCAUUCCCUUACCAUCCAUGGCAGAAUCCACACUGGGGAGAAGCCAUAUGAAUGUGAGGAGUGCGGGAAGGCCUUCAGUGGGAGUUCAGACCUCACCAAACACAUAAGAAUCCACACUGGGGAACGACCUUAUGAGUGCAGCAAGUGUGGAAGGGCCUUCAGUCGGAGCUCAGACCUAAGCAAACACAAACGAAUCCAUACUCGGGAGAAACACUAUGGGUGUCCCCAGUGUGGAAAAGACUUCAGCAUCAAGGCAGAACUCACCAAACACAGAAGGAUCCACACUGAAGAGAAACGUUACAGGUGUGAGGAGUGUGGGAAAGCCUUUCGUCAUAACUGUAAGCGCAGGGCUCAUGAACGAGAGCAUACAGGGGAGAAGCCCUAUCAAUGCAGGGAUUGUGGGAAAACCUUCCAAGAUAAGCACUGCCUUACCAUCCAUCAGAGAAUCCACACUGGAGAGAAACCUUACAAAUGUUUAGAGUGUGGGAAAGCUUUCAGUGGGAAGUCAAACUUGACCAAUCAUCGAAGAAUUCACACUGGAGAGAAGCCUCACAAAUGUGAGGUAUGUGGAAUGGCCUUCCAUCAUAGUUCAGUCCUGAGGCAGCACAAAAGAAUCCACACUGGUGAGAAGCCAUACACCUGCAGUGAGUGUGGCACGUCCUUCCGUCAGGGCUCAGCUCUGAUUGGACAUAAGCGAGUUCAUACUGGGGAGAAACCUUAUGAAUGUGAGGAAUGUGGAAAAGCUUUUAGAGUGAGCUCAAAUCUUACUGGACAUAAGAAAAGAAAACAUCAAGUAUGGAGUACCCAUGAACUUGAUGGGAGUAGGAAAUCCCUCUCUCCAGUGACUGUUUCUCAGACCUCAGUAGUCAGUAUUUUGACCAGUGCCUGAGUAUAACGAUUCUGGUGUUACUUUCUGUUUUUCCUACCUCUUAGGCUGGUCCUUCUGUCUCUUAUAUUAGUUAUUCCUGAUUUCCUGACCCUUAAUUGUGAGAUUCCCCAAAGACAUUGUCCUUUACCUUCUUAUUCACUAUUUUUUCAGUGAGCACAUUUACUUCCAAGAGUUUAUCAAUCACUUCCUAAUAUUAAUAAACACUUAUUAGUGCUU
rnacentral:misc_RNA from 1 species